rnacentral:rRNA from 1 species
AACGAACGCUGGCGGCAUGCCUAACACAUGCAAGUCGAACGAGACCUUCGGGUCUAGUGGCGCACGGGCGCGUAACGCGUGGGAACCUGCCCUUAGGUUCGGAAUAACUCCCCGAAAGGGGUGCUAAUACCGGAUAAUGUCUUCGGACCAAAGAUUUAUCGCCUUUGGAUGGGCCCGCGUUGGAUUAGCUAGUUGGUAGGGUAAAAGCAUACCAAGGCGACGAUCCAUAGCUGGUCUGAGAGGAUGAUCAGCCACACUGGGACUGAGACACGGCCCAGACUCCUACGGGAGGCAGCAGUGGGGAAUAUUGGACAAUGGGCGAAAGCCUGAUCCAGCAAUGCCGCGUGAGUGAUGAAGGCCUUAGGGUUGUAAAGCUCUUUUACCCGGGAUGAUAAUGACAGUACCGGGAGAAUAAGCUCCGGCUAACUCCGUG